UUACGGCCACAACACAUUGAAACACCGGUUCCCGUGCGAUAACUGAAGUUAAGCAACGUCGAGGCAGGUUAGUACCUAGAUGGGUGACAGCUUAAGAAUACCAGGUGUUGUAA